AUUAACUUCUUCCACAUAAUUGAAUCCACCAAUAUGGUAAGACCUGUGCUGAGAAUUAGAUAAACAUUAAUGAUGCCAAACCAAGAAAGAAAAAUAAGUUCUAUGGAAAAGUUUAUUCUAAGAGAAAUAGGAAGGCCUAAUGCUUAAACUUAGUUCCCUUUUUAGUUUACUUUCCAUUAUGGAUUUUCUUCAAUUAAUCAUUUUACAUUUCCCGUCUAGGUUUUUGUAGGUAGCUUUAAACUGUUCCAAUAUGAUUGUGCUUGGUGCUUAUAUAAAAGAAUUGUAAUUUGAGAUUUACACUACUGGGAUUAUUAUUCAAACAUUCUUCAAUAAAAAUUUCAAUGAGCAAGCAAAAUAUUUGACUUAUGAAAGAAUUAAUUUUAUGGUGCAAUCUGUAUGCCAUUAGAAGCACUAUCUGUUACCUCAAGAGUUUUUUUUUUUUAAAUAAAUCUGUUACCUCAAGAGUUUGUUUUAUAUUCUGACUACUUGGCUUCCUAUUGUAGUAUGAAUUGUUCAUACAUUUCAGUUCGAAAGAACUAAUGAAUCCACUAAGGUCAGUGAUCUAGAUCUAUUAGUUUGGUGAUGUGACUAACAUUUAUAAGAUCAUUACUAAGGUCCAAUCCUUGCAGCCUGUGGUGCUGGGCAAUAUGAUUUCACCACUCAUAGUGCCUUGUUGAUAGACAAAUUCAUAAUGCCUCUCCUAUUUUCAAUAAGUGAUUGAGGAUGUAACAAGGUGCAGAGCAACCUUUUCUCAAGUUAAAAUUUUGAAAUGCUUGUGAUAGAGUUACUUGGUGAUUUUUGGAUAAGAUUCUGGAAAGUAAGGGCUUUCAAUAGCUAUAGAGAAGGUGAUCGAUAAAGGACCCAUUUUUGUCAUCUCGUGGUUGAUGUCCUAAGUCAGAUAUAUGGGCAUGGUGCUAGUUUGAAUGUGUUCGGGGGGGAGGGAGGGAGGAGGUGUCUGAAUAUUCCCUUUCAUUUACUAUAUGAAUAUUUUGUUAUAUUAUGUACCUCUUAUAUGAGCUUGAGGUCACUUUGGGCCAACGAAUUAAUUUGAGCGAAAAUGGUUUGCCAACAUAAAUCUGGAGGAUCAUGCCAUUGGUGGCUUGGCUAAUAUCAUCUGGUGCACAAUCUUUCAAUAGCCUUAUUUAGAGGUGCUCUUGGGGGCAAUACACAUAAUUUCUUCAUUGGGAUCCCACUUUGGGUAACAUCACUAAGCAACUAGACCUGGAAGCUGCUCUAUUCUCUUUAAAGGAUUAGCUCAACUCCUUUAGGCAUGUUUGUGUAGCAUUCCUCUUUACUAUUCUCUCUCUUUAGAACUGUGGUUAGUAUCAUCAAGAGAAUUGAGAAAAUUAGGAGUCUCCAUGGUCUAAGGUGGUAUCAAGAUCUUGACUCAUGCACCCGAGGAGUCACCUGACUAGGUUAAGAAGAAAGAAAAGUAGAGAAGGCUGGGAGAAGAGAAGCAAAAUGCUGGAGAGAGAGAGAGAGACAUGAGAAGGGAUAGAUGAACAGAAGAAUAAGAGAAUAGAAAAUGCCUGAUAAAUCAGAUAAGAUUUUCAUUAGCAUUUUGCAUAAUGUUCCUUACAUCCUUACUAGGUUAAAUACUAGGCUGGUGAGAAGAACAGAUAAAACAGGAUAGCUAACUUCCUGUGUGGUACAACUAAAGGCAGCAUUCUAGCAAGGUGCCAAGUAUAUUCCUGGUUCUAACGGCUAGUAUA
rnacentral:lncRNA from 1 species